rnacentral:tRNA from 1 species
GGCGCUAUAGCCAAGUGGUAAGGCACGGGGCUGCAACACCCUGACCCCCGGUUCAAAUCCGGGUGGCGCCUCCA